rnacentral:rRNA from 1 species
CCUACGGGCGACAGCAGUGGGGAAUAUUGGGCAAUGGGCGAAAGCCUGACCCAGCAACGCCGCGUGAAGGAAGAAGGCCUUCGGGUUGUAAACUUCUUUUGACAGGGAAGAGCAGUUGACGGUACCUAUCGAAUAAGCCACGGCUAACUACGUGCGAGCAGCCGCGGUAAUACGUAGGUGGCAAGCGUUGUCCGGAAUUACUGGGUGUAAAGGGCGUGUAGCCGGGCUGACAAGUCAGUUGUGAAAUCCGGGGGCUCAACCCCCGAACUGCAUUUGAAACUGGUGGUCUUGAGUAUCGGAGAGGCAGGCGGAAUUCGUAGUGUAGCGGUGAAAUGCGUAGAUAUUAGGAAGAACACCAGUGGCGAAGGCAGCCUACUGGACGACAACUGACGGUGAGGCGCGAAAGCGUGGGGAGCAAACAGGAUUAGAUACCCUAGUAGUC